UACGGGAGGCAGCAGUGGGGAAUAUUGCACAAUGGGCGCAAGCCUGAUGCAGCCAUGCCGCGUGUAUGAAAAAGGCCUUCGGGUUGUAAAGUACUUUCAGUCGUGAGGAAGGUGUUAAGGUUAAUAACCUUAGCAAUUGACGUUAGCGACAGAAGAAGCACCGGCUAACUCCGUGCCAGCAGCCGCGGUAAUACGGAGGGUGCGAGCGUUAAUCGGAAUUACUGGGCGUAAAGGGCACGCAGGCGGUUAAUUAAGUUGGAUGUGAAUCCCCGGGCUUAACCUGGGAAUGGCAUUCAAGACUGGUUAGCUAGAGUCUUGUAGAGGGGGUAGAAUUCCAUGUGUAGCGGUGAAAUGCGUAGAGAUGUGGAGGAAUACCGGUGGCGAAGGCGGCCCCUGGACAAAGACUGACGCUCAUGUGCGAAAGCGUGGGGAGCGAAACAGGGAUUAGAUACCCGU
rnacentral:rRNA from 1 species